GACGAACGCUGGCGGCGUGCCUAAUACAUGCAAGUAGAACGCUGAAGAGAGGAGCUUGCUCUUCUUGGAUGAGUUGCGAACGGGUGAGUAACGCGUAGGUAACCUGCCUGGUAGCGGGGGAUAACUAUUGGAAACGAUAGCUAAUACCGCAUAAAAUUGAUUAUUGCAUGAUAAUUAAUUGAAAGAUGCAACUGCAUCACUACCAGAUGGACCUGCGUUGUAUUAGCUAGUUGGUGAGGUAACGGCUCACCAAGGCGACGAUACAUAGCCGACCUGAGAGGGUGAUCGGCCACACUGGGACUGAGACACGGCCCAGACUCCUACGGGAGGCAGCAGUAGGGAAUCUUCGGCAAUGGGGGGAACCCUGACCGAGCAACGCCGCGUGAGUGAAGAAGGUUUUCGGAUCGUAAAGCUCUGUUGUAAGAGAAGAACGGGUGUGAGAGUGGAAA
rnacentral:rRNA from 1 species